rnacentral:rRNA from 1 species
GGAUUGAAAUGGGCGCAGCCUGAUCCAGCCAUGCCGCGUGCGGGAAGAAGGCCUUCGGGUUGUAAACCGCUUUUGUCAGGGAAGAAAAGCGCCGGGCUAAUACCGCGGCGUGAUGACGGUACCUGAAGAAUAAGCACCGGCUAACUACGUGCCAGCAGCCGCGGUAAUACGUAGGGUGCAAGCGUUAAUCGGAAUUACUGGGCGUAAAGCGUGCGCAGGCGGCUUUGCAAGACAGAUGUGAAAUCCCCGGGCUUAACCUGGGAACUGCAUUUGUGACUGCAUGGCUGGAGUACGGUAGAGGGGGAUGGAAUUCCGCGUGUAGCAGUGAAAUGCGUAGAUAUGCGGAGGAACACCGAUGGCGAAGGCAGUCCCCUGGACCUGUACUGACGCUCAUGCACGAAAGCGUGGGGAGCAAACAGGAUUAGAUACCCUGGUAGUCCACGCCCUAAACGAUGUCAACUGGUUGUUGGACGGCUUGCUGUUCAGUAACGAAGCUAACGCGUGAAGUUGACCGCCUGGGGAGUACGGCCGCAAGGUUGAAACUCAAAAAAAUUGACGGA